UAAGGAAUAUUGCUCAAUGGGAGAAAUCCUGAAGCAGCAACGCCGCGUGGAGGAUGAAGGGUUUUUAACUUGUAAACUCCUGUAAAGAAGGAAAAAAUUCCCAUUAGAUGGGAAAUGAUGGUACUUCUGGAGUAAGCCCCGGCUAACUACGUGCCAGCAGCCGCGGUAAUACGUAGGGGGCAAGCGUUGUCCGGAUUUACUGGGUGUAAAGGGUGCUCAGGCGGAUUUGUAAGUCAGAGGUGAAAUCUCACAGCUUAACUGUGAAACUGCCUUUGAUACUGCAAGCCUAGAGUAUGGAAGAGAGUGAUGGAAUAUCUGGUGUAGCAGUGAAAUGCGUAGAUAUCAGAUAGAACACCAAUGGCGAAGGCAGUCACUUGGUCCCAUAACUGACGCUAAAGACANCGAAAGCGUGGGUAGCAAACAGGAUUAGAUACCCUGGUACGUCCAACGCCCUAAAACGAUGAAUACUAGAUGUUGGCUUCGCAUGAAGUCAGUAUCUGAGCUAACGCAUUAAGUAUUCCACCUGGGGAAGUACGAUCGCAAGGUUGAAACUCAAAGGAAUUGACGGGGGUCAUAGCUGUUUCCUG
rnacentral:rRNA from 1 species